UCAGGUAGAUUGCUACUGCCUUUUGUAGAACAGUGACCACGUGUGUAUUAGCCAUUACGAGAAGGAUGCCCGGCCAACAGCUUACAUUUAAGCAAGUGGCCACUUAGUGACAGGAGAGUUACCAUGCUGAGUAUAGAAAAAGAGGGAAUAGGUUAGUAAUGAGGGAGUCAGAAACAGGGAGGGAUUGAGUUCUGUUUUUGUUAAGUUUAUUGGUAGCAUGUUUGUCUCUUUACAGAAGAGCUCAGCCUACGUACUAGAAUGUAGACUUCUGGAAAAAAAAUAGCUAGAAGGGCUCUAUUUAAGCAAGCUACAAAAAACCCCCAAAAAACGCAAGAACAAAUACUAGGGAGAAAGGAGGAGGGGGAAGGAGCUAGACUGCCGAGUUUCUCCGUACCAAAAAAAUUCUAGAGUAGUGGUCAGUAAGAGAGGAAAGGUUCCUAGUUCAAGUCAUUGGCCAAGGUAUGACUACCACAAGCCAGAUGGGAAGGAGCUCCUUCUACAAAAAGGCAAAAGUCACUGGAACAUCUCACCUUAGACUUUUUGGAUUUCCUGCGAGAUGUUAAAUGGAUGAGGGGGGGAAGGUGAACAAACAAGAUGAUCAUUUCACAGCCAUAUUUAAUUUUAAAUCCAAUAAUCCAGUGUGCAUAUCACUGUUAUGCAAAUCAACUUUGAGAAUUUAGAUACAAGGAAGCCAGACAGACUUGGAUUUUUCGCCCACAGGAGAUGAAGCUUUUUGGCUCAAAAGUCAGUAAGACCUUUUACAUAAAAUUCUCACUCCUACUGUACAGAAUACUGCCUCUAUCUGGACUUCAUGUUGCUGGCACACCACACUUCAAGUGUCCUCCUCACUUUCUAGUGAAUCUGUGUUUUAGUAUUUUGACAUGUCAUUCAAGAAUUUUACACUAAUUUAUACAUUUUUUAAUUGGUUGCAUAUAUUAACAUGUACUAUAAGAUUUUU